rnacentral:rRNA from 1 species
UACGUAGGGUGCAAGCGUUAAUCGGAAUUACUGGGCGUAAAGCGUGCGCAGGCGGUUUUGUAAGUCUGUCGUGAAAGCCCCGGGCUCAACCUGGGAAUUGCGAUGGAGACUGCAAGGCUAGAAUCUGGCAGAGGGGGGUAGAAUUCCACGUGUAGCAGUGAAAUGCGUAGAGAUGUGGAGGAACACCGAUGGCGAAGGCAGCCCCCUAGGUCAAGAUUGACGCUCAUGCACGAAAGCGUGGGGAGCAAACAGG